AAAUGAAUAGACGGGGGCCCGCACAAGCAGCGGAGCAUGUGGUUUAAUUCGAAGCAACGCGAAGAACCUUACCAAGGCUUGACAUCCCUUGAAGGCUGUGGAAACACAGCCGGCCCUUCGGGGACAAGGAGACAGGUGGUGCAUGGUUGUCGUCAGCUCGUGUCGUGAGAUGUUGGGUUAAGUCCCGCAACGAGCGCAACCCUUGUUGAUAGUUACCAGUAUUAAGUUAGGGACUCUAUCAAGACUGCCGUGGACAACACGGAGGAAGGUGGGGGCGACGUCAAAUCAUCAUGCCCCUUAUGUCUUGGGCUACACACGUGCUACAAUGGCCGCAACAGAGGGCAGCGAAGCGGUAACGCGGAGCGAAUCUCAAAAAGGCGGUCUCAGUUCAGAUUGUGGGCUGCAACCCGCCCACAUGAAGACGGAGUUGCUAGUAAUCGCGAAUCAGCAUGUCGCGGUGAAUGCGUUCCCGGGCCUUGUACACACCGCCCGU
rnacentral:rRNA from 1 species